GACUGCUAAUACCGCAUAAGCGCACGGUAUCGCAUGAUACAGUGUGAAAAACUCCGGUGGUAUAAGAUGGACCCGCGUCUGAUUAGCUAGUUGGUGAGGUAACGGCCCACCAAGGCGACGAUCAGUAGCCGGCCUGAGAGGGUGAACGGCCACAUUGGGACUGAGACACGGCCCAAACUCCUACGGGAGGCAGCAGUGGGGAAUAUUGCACAAUGGGGGAAACCCUGAUGCAGCGACGCCGCGUGAGUGAUGAAGUAUUUCGGUAUGUAAAACUCUAUCAGCAGGGAAGAUAAUGACGGUACCUGACUAAGAAGCACCGGCUAAAUACGUG
rnacentral:rRNA from 1 species